rnacentral:lncRNA from 1 species
UUGAAAGCCUGUACUGUGAAAUUCAUAGCAGUAAUUUAGACAAAAUCCUCACUGUAUAUUAAUGAAAGGCGGCCCCAUGGCACCGCUCCUAUCCCCCCCCCCCCACCCCCAUUCAGUGUAAACAAAACCACGAGACUCACUCGGUUUUUGAGCCUGAUCCAAGCAAAAUCGGCUGGAAAGGAAAACAUAGGGGUCUGGCACGGACUAUUCAAACGUCUGCACCUGGAGAUUUCAGAUUUAUUCAAUGAAAUCUGUGUUGGAUCAUAUAUAGGUCGCUACACCUCUGCCUAUAGAUAUUCAUGGAUAGAUAGGAUAGAUAGAUUUUCUCAAAGUAGCCUUUGGAGAACUGAGAGAAAACCCUAAAAUAUGGUUAUAUUUUGGGGCGGGGGGGGGGGUGGUGUUCAGUUACCCUUACCCUGCAGAUCGGUCUACUUCACAUUAAUGGGUGUUUUUUUUUUUCUUUCCCUAAACCUCCCUAAGAUGGUAUCUUUCACCGUGCAAGCUGGAGCUGGACGCGGUCCUAAAUAAAUGCUACCGGGCUACAGUUAAUCUUCGAAUCACGCAAACGCUGCAUACUUGCGAUUGGGAUGGAACUCAGUUUUCAGCCCGAGUUCCUCUAGCUGGAUUUCUGCAGGGAAAUUAUUAGCAGAAGGACAGAAAGCACCACCGCCGUCCGUACCGCCCCCGGCACCAGCGCCGGCACCGGCGCCCUCGACAAGCCUUGAGGACAACUUCUUCCCUGGAGUUUAUUGUGUGUCCAAGGAUACCCUCUAUGCAGCCGCGCACACCUGCCCGGCUCUACCCAUGCGCUCGCCCUCGGGCCCCGGACCGCUGCUGGGAUAAAAAUUACCUAUAAAGCGCCGACCCUCCCAAGCACCGGCAUCAAGGAAAGAUGCCUCGCCAGACGGGAACUCUUGCGAGGAGGCUGGGGAAGGAGGCUGGUUUCAGAGAAAGCAGAGCGCUCCCGCACUAGCCACUCCGGAGACAUGCAUCAUCGCAGGAAGUUUGCUUAGGACCACCCCGCCGAACUUGAAAAACGAGGACCGGAGAGGGGGGGAGCCCGGGAGCCCGGCCGUCCCUCCCUCCCCUGCCCCCCCCCGACCCCUCCCCCCGACCCCCGCACCCAGUCCCCACCCCGCACCUCUCCGACCCGCCUGCCCAGCGGCCUACCGGCCCACCUGCCUGCUCCCCUCCGCACCCGCCACCGCGGCGGCCCAGGCGCCUUGCGGGAAAGAGGAAAAAGGAAGAAAAAGUUUUGCUCCACGAGGGGGAAGGAAGGAAAAUGCCGGCGGGAGUGACAUGCGACCCUUAAAGCGAAGAGGGGAGAGCGGGCGAGGAGGCGAAGAAGGGGUGGUUGGCUGAUCUUCUCCUCUCCCGCCCCUCACCCCCCCACACGCCCCCCGCCCCCUCUCCAUCCCUCUCUCUUUUUCUCCUCUUUUCCCCUUCGCCGCUCCGCUCCCUCCGGCGAAACCUCCC